UACGUAGGGUGCAAGCGUUGUCCGGAAUUAUUGGGCGUAAAGAGCUCGUAGGCGGUCUGUCGCGUCGGCUGUGAAAUCCCGAGGCUCAACCUCGGGUCUGCAGUCGAUACGGGCAAACUGGAGUGUUGCAGGGGAGACUGGAAUUCCAGGUGUAGCGGUGAAAUGCGUAGAUAUCUGGAGGAACACCGGUGGCGAAGGCGGCAUCCUGGACCGGCAUUGACGCGUGAGGCG
rnacentral:rRNA from 1 species